rnacentral:rRNA from 1 species
GACGAACGCUGGCGGCGUGCUUAACACAUGCAAGUCGAACGGAAAGGCCCUGCUUUUGUGGGGUGCUCGAGUGGCGAACGGGUGAGUAACACGUGAGUAACCUGCCCUUGACUUUGGGAUAACUUCAGGAAACUGGGGCUAAUACCGGAUAGGAGCUCCUGCUGCAUGGUGGGGGUUGGAAAGUUUCGGCGGUUGGGGAUGGACUCGGGGCUUAUCAGCUUGUUGGUGGGGGAGUGGCUUACCAAGGCUUUGACGGGUGGCCGGCCUGAGAGGGUGGCCGGCCACCUUGGUACUGAGAUACGGCCCAGACUCCUACGGGAGGCAGAAGUGGGGAAUAUUGCACAAUGGGCGGAAGCCUGAUGAAGCAACGCCGCGUGCGGGAUGACGGCCUUGGGGUUGUAAACCGCUUUCGCCUGUGACGAAGCGUGAGUGACGGUAAUGGGUAAAGAAGCACCGGCUAACUACGUG